CAAUAUUAUUCACUAUCACAUUGUAUUAGCUAAUGUCAUUUUAUAUGAGUGAGAGGAAAUAAGAAAGAAAAUAGAUUGAUCAGAGACAAAAAGAAAAUCCAGUGCAGGGAAACUGAAUGGUAUACAAGUUGACUUGAGUAAUGUGAAGGGGAGAUAUUCUGAAUAAAAGAGACUAGUGCUCAUAGAAAGAGCUCAGGAUUCUAAGGGGAACUUUAUUCCACCUCAGAGCAAUGUUAAAUGAUGUCCUCUUUAGUAUAAAGUAUUGCAGUCAAAACCUUUAUAUUAAUACAUGAGAAACAAGUAAACUAUUUUCCUGCCAACUGGAUGUUCCAAAUUCAGAAUUUCAUGGAAAUCAUCACACUCCUAGAAACAGACCGAAUAUAGAAUAAAAUGUUACUUCCUUUAAUGUAUAAAUUAGUUAUGUUUAAAGCCAAUAUUGUUAUGUGGAGAGUGAGAGGAAAUAUGAGAAAAUGAAGGGUGAAAGAUAAUAAGAAAAGAUACUUGUAAAGAAGUUGGUGCCUUUUUGUUUGAUUUUUGUUUUGUUUUGCCUUGCCUUUUUUUUUUAAAGUAAAGCUCUGAAGGAGACUGACUGUACAAGUUUACUUGACAGUAUUUUUCAUCAUCGACAUCCCUAUCACAUUCAUCUAUUUCAGACAUUACAUUCAUCCAGGAAAGCCAACUCUGGUGUUACAAAUGCAGUGGCAAACAGCAAGGUCUAACAACCUUGAUGUAAUGGUACGUCAAUUCUUCUACACAUCCCUUCUGGACUACCCUUUCCCUAUGGUAUACAAGCCCUGGGUUUAAGGGACAAUGGCACAGGGAUUCACCAUUUUGUCUUGCCACCAUCUGAGACAG
rnacentral:lncRNA from 1 species